GACCUCAGGAUGCUCUGGUCCUAGAAGAGGCGGCGAAGUAAGAGGAGAGGAGAGGUUCGGACAGGUGUUGGUGAAGGUCAAGAAUAAUAAGUGUUUAGAAGCUGGUGCGGAGAUAUUUCAACUAUCAAAAUGUGACAAAGACAAAAAUAUAGAUUGGCUUCUACGAUGACAGGAUCAGGUGUAUUGCAGGAUUACGGGAAAGGGGGGCGGGACAUCACACCUCGAAAAACUUGUCCACGUGGUCCCUUGGCGCGUCGUGGUUCACUGCCGGGUACGUGUACUUGCCCAUCAUGUCGUAAAUUGACUUCAUGAUGUCCA